GACGAACGCUGGCGGCGUGCCUAAUACAUGCAAGUCGAGCGGACCAAAGGGAGCUUGCUCCUGGAGGUCAGCGGCGAACGGGUGAGUAACACGUGGGCAACCUGCCUGUAAGACUGGGAUAACAUCGAGAAAUCGGUGCUAAUACCGGAUAAUAAAAAGAACUGCAUGGUUCUUUUUUGAAAGAUGGUUUCGGCUAUCACUUACAGAUGGGCCCGCGGCGCAUUAGCUAGUUGGUGAGGUAACGGCUCACCAAGGCAACGAUGCGUAGCCGACCUGAGAGGGUGAUCGGCCACACUGGGACUGAGACACGGCCCAGACUCCUACGGGAGGCAGCAGUAGGGAAUCUUCCGCAAUGGACGAAAGUCUGACGGAGCAACGCCGCGUGAGUGAUGAAGGUUUUCGGAUCGUAAAACUCUGUUGUUAGGGAAGACAAGUGCCGUUCGAAAGGGCGGC
rnacentral:rRNA from 1 species